AAUAGUUUCGUACCACAAAAUGUGGCACUCUUCAAAAGAGUGCCACAUUUUGUGGUACGAAACUAUU